ACUCACUCACACAACGCCAGUCGGGUUACUCACUCACUCAUCAUCUGUCACACAUUUCUCCAAUCCGAAACAACAAAAAGAAAAACAAAAAGGCAAGAAAAGCAGCAGCGCUUGGCACAUUUUUUAAGCUGCGCUUGUGUUGUGUUUUGGUUGUGCUCCCUGCUCUCUGACAACGUCGACGUCGCUGCUUCUGCGGAUGCUGCUGCUGCUGCUGCUGCGGCUGCGGCGGCGGCUUUUGUGUUUGUGUGCGUUCGGUUCAGCGCGCAUCUUUCAUCCUCGUGGCUCAAAUUGAGAUAAUUCCAUGCAAAGUCUGCGGCGACAAGUCAUCCGGCGUGCAUUACGGAGUGAUCACCUGCGAGGGCUGCAAGGGAUUCUUUCGAAGAUCGCAGAGCUCCGUGGUCAACUACCAGUGUCCGCGCAACAAGCAAUGUGUGGUGGACCGUGUUAAUCGCAACCGAUGUCAAUAUUGUAGACUGCAAAAGUGCCUAAAACUGGGAAUGAGCCGUGAUGGUCUGUAGAAAGUGUUGCAUGUGGCACCGAGAGUAAAGCGUUUGGAAACUGAAUUGAUAUCUAAGAACAAUUUUACAAUUCAAGACUUUUUAGUAACAUAGAAACAUGAAUUGAUGAUAAAUUAUUUGUGUAUUAUUAAAAAAAAAAAAGUAGGCC
ensembl:ncRNA lncRNA:CR46322 long non-coding RNA:CR46322